rnacentral:lncRNA from 1 species
GAUCUUCCAAAUAAGGCAAGUGUAGAGCUGGUUUGGCCGGUUUUUGGAAAUUGAUCAUAUCUUCCAAUUCCUUUGACCAUUUCUCGAGAUCUUGGGCUUUAUGGAAAGCUGAUAAACUCCUAUUGAAUUCUAUGAUCGGUUUUGGUUCAGGACACUUCUUCUUUGGGCUUGAAUCCUCUUGUAAAGUUGCAUACUCGCAGAUGGACGGGCUGAGAAACCUCUGACUUGUAAAAUUCAUAACUUCUUGCUCCGUGAAUAUUUUGGCCCAAUUACAAUUGUCCUGGACUCCUUCUUUAGUGUAGAAUCCAUAAAAAUUAUCCUCAUCAUUUAAACCCUCCUGUUUUGUAAGAUAUGGCAUGUUUAGUGCACAUAUGUCCUGGUUGGCGCCUUGGCUGGUUGAGUAGGGUUUUGGGUUGACCUCUGGUUCAGUUACUGAUCUGAUGGCCGCAUC